AUUUUGAAAUGCAAAGCUCUGCUCAAAGAGGGAGUGCCAGGGUUGUAGGAUUGCAUCAGAGACCUCUGAAGCCAGCCUGGGAUGUUAUGUUUUUUUUUCUUUUAAUUUCUAGGGGUUUUCCAGGCCAGUUAAUCUUUUGAUUUUUAUUUUCUACCCUAUGCAGGAGAGAAGAGAGCCAGGCAUGCUGGGUAAUAGAUCCAGAACAGUCUACAAGUAUUGCCAAGGACCUACUAUGUGCCAGUCACUGUUUUAGGCCCUGGGGACACAGGGUGGGCAAACCUGAGGAGGCCAUUAUAAUCUUUGUACCACACCGCACUAUCUUACUUAUUUUGUGUCUCUGUUCUGCUAGAGGGUGAGGGGCUUGUGAAGGCAGAGUUGUGUCUGGGUCAUCUUUGUAUCCAAAGUAGACAUGAUUUUUCCAUGAGUGUUUGUUGAAUGAAUGAAUGACCAUUUAGCUUACACAUCAUGGGCCAGGAACCUCUCUGGGUAUGGAGACAUGGCCACGAACAAGACAGAUGGGCACACACUAGGGGUGCAGAGACAAGAUACACAUUCAACAAGUACAUUAUCAGCAUGAAAUCAUGCAGAGAAAACAGUCUGGUUUCUCUAGUCAAAAUGAGCACCCAGGUAACCAGCACCACUCAGCCAGGGCAGUGAAAGAAGUGCGGUCAGGAUGGUGUAGGAGAAGCGGCCACUGAGAGGUGGUCCAGCGUGGUCUGAAAUGCCAGCUUGGUCACUGGAUCACUGUCGGAGCUUGGGGGCACAUUCUCUCUUUCAACCUCAAUUUCCCAUCUAGAAAUGGGAAUGAUAGUGUUUAACUGUCAAGGCACUGGAAAGAGGCACAGUUCUGAGAGGGCCCCUUGACCUCCACCCCCUGGGGUCACACCUGGUGUAACUCUCUCCCCUUGAGUGUGGGCAUGACCUGUGACCUGUUUCUAAUGAACAGAACGUGGUAAAGGAAGCCCACGUGGCAAGGAAUUGCAGGCAGCCUCUAGCAUCUGAGGGUGGCCCCAGCUGACAUCCAGCCAGACAGCAGGGCCCCCAUCCCACAGCCACAGGAAAUGAAUUCUGACACCAGCCUGAAGGAGCUUGGAAGCAGAUUCUUCUACAGUCGAGCCUCCGGGUGAGAAUGCAGCCUGGCUGCUACCUUGGCCACGACCUUGUGACACCCUGGGCAGAGGACCGAGCUGAGCUGUGACCAGACUCCUGACCUCUAGGAACCUUGAAAUAGUACAUGUGUAUUGUUGAGGCCAUUAAGCUUGGAGUAACUGGCCAGGCAGUAGGUGACCAGAUGCUGGCACACAGCAGGUAGGGUCUGAAAGUCAGAGGUGAAAGACAGCAGAGGGUGGAUCAGUUUAGCCUCCCCCACCUCGUCUUGCACACACCUGCCCCCCACCCCAAACCCUCACAGAGCUGGGCAUCCUGGGGGGCUCUGGGCUUGCAGCAAGGUCAGCCAUGCUGAGGUGCCUGCAUUUGGAACAAGAAGCAUCACCAAAGGGCACUCGCUUUCUAGAAGAGCAGAUGCUCCAAACUGCAUGCACUUGGGGUUCACUGGCCUCGAGGCUGGCAGCUGCUACCUUGGAGCUGAGAAGAGGCACUAGAGAAGCAAUAGGAUCCCUGAUAUCUGCCCAGAACCCGGGGAUGAGAAGGCCCGCAAAAAGAGACUGCUCGCCUCUUGUCAUGGCCUGCAGUGGACUCUGCAGAACUCUGGCCUCACCAUCUGCUUGGACAACGUCUGUGGCUGCUCAGGUUUGUGGGCUCAGAAUGGGAGGUCGAUGCCUGGUUUGCUUCCAGACUCAUCUGAUUUAAUUUCAGCACCGUUUCUGAAAGGGCUCUGAUUUCUCUGAUACUCGUUAAAUGACUCCCUCUGCCCCUGCCGUGCAGCCAGACCCUGUCCAGGUCUGGAAUGAUUAAGACUGAAUUUUCUGAGCCUUCGGGUCUCUGUCACAGUGGAGGAGACAAGGCUUGUUGCUCAAGGCUGUAGGAAGAUCAUGGUGAACACGAUUGUCCACCGCCUGCUCUCAGGUUACCCUGGACCAGAGGCUGGCUGAGGCUUAAAUGGAGCUUCUCACUUAACUCCUUGGAGACCCUGGAGAGAGGAGGUUCUGGAUAACCUUACUGGGCAUUAGCGGGGAUGGACUAAUGAUGAUUUCCUCCCAAUAGCAAGUGUGCUCCACGACCGUUGAUGAUGCUGGCCUUAACCAUUUACAGAGGGCAAUGUGGGGUCUAAGCAACCCAGAGUCAGGGUGACGCUCUGCACCCCCCCAACUUUGGGGGACAAUCAGACUGGUCCUAACAGUGACAAUGUGGACCCCACACCAGUAAGAAGGGAAGAGAAUUUGGCUUCCCUGAGGGCCUCCAACGUGCUGGGCAGCAGAUCCAGUGCUUUACAUACUGAAUUUCCUUAAACACCCAACACAACCCUGAGUGAGCUGCUAUUCAUACCCACAGUGUUCCAUGUAUCCACGGCUCCAUGAUAUCCCCCCCAGAACCUUCUGAUUGACUAUAACAACCCUUGUCUGUUUUGCUCACAGGUCUGCAAUUUGAGCAUGGAGACAGCCUGUCUCCCAACACAUGGCAUCAAGCAAGGUGGCUCCACUGAGGCCAAAAGGUCCACUUCGAAGAUGGCUCAGUCACAUGGAAGCCAAAUUGAUGCCAGCUCUCAACUGGGAGCUCAGUGGAGACUGUCAGCCCUGGGCCUUGUUGUCUCCGUGAAGACCUAUCCGCAGGGCUGCUUGGGUUGCCUCACGAGAUGGCAGCUGAGCGCCAAGAAAUCCAGGUGGAAACCACAAGGCUCUGUGGGUGACCUAGCCUCAUGGGUGAUAUCCCUGAAUAUCAUUUCUCCACAUUCUACUGGCCAGUGAAGUCGCUGAGGCAAAUCCAGGUUCAAGGGGAAGGAAAUCAGACUCCACCUCUCAGUGGAGGGAGUAGGAAAUAGAGGCACUUACCUCUAACCCACCAUAUGUAUUUUACAGAUGGGGAAUCUGAAGUUUCAGAGCCAUGUCACACCUUCCCACAAUGAACAGCUGGAAAGCAGCAGAGACCCACAUCUGAACCCACCUCUGAAUAAGCUCUGAACAUAAGGUCUUUCUAUUCUACCAAGUAGUACUUUAGACCAGGAAGCUAAUACCAAUGGCUGAUUGGUUUAGCUAAUCAGGCGUAUCUUCAGAAAUAGGCCCAGAAAGACCAGUAAAAAUAAGACCCGUGUUUGAAUUUCUUAACUCUAUAUAAGUUUCCCCAAGCAUUAAGUUUCUUUAUGGAGAGCUGAGCUCAGUCAAAGUUUUUGUAGACUAAGACUUUAUCAGAACAGAAAAGCCAGGCUUAAACAAUGAAUGUGACCUGGACUAGAAAAAUUCUUCUUAAAUUUUUCCACAUUUUCCUUAUUCUUGCCAAGCAUUCUUGUCCCACCAUCCCUCCACCAAAGACUAGUUGGAGACACGUGGGUGCACAGAAAUGCUGUGUACAGUUGCUCAGGAUGUGCAUUGUACAAGGAGGUCAGUUGAACAGUGAAAGGGGUUAAAACUCAGCCUGUGCUCCUCUCUGCGAGCCUUGCGUCUGGUAUGGGACUGAGUCCAACUGGAGUUAGGGUGCUGUUUCCUAAGCUGAUCAAGUUAGCCAGGGAGGACUAACUUGCAAAGCCAACUUCAAAGCAAUUCUACCCAAAUUGUCCUGAGGAGAGGCUGAACGUUUCAAGGGGAAAGUGGAGAAGGAGAAUGUGAUGACUCUUGGUCUCCCAAGAAACAUCUCAAGCAGUUCUUCUCUGGCUCCAAACUUGUAUACUUUGUUCGGAAAAACAAAAGUUCCUCAUUUAGCGGGAUCACCUUCCAUGGAGGUGAUCAUGUAUUUUUUAGCUAUUUAUUUGCCCUUUCAGGGACUUGCCCUUCUUGGGUUCAAGUUUGAUUCUUCCAUAAAUGGAAGGUCACUGCAUGAUCUUGGAUCAAAUGUGUAACAUCUCAGAACUUGCCACCUCCCCUGCGAAAGAGGAAUCCUAAUAACAGGCAUUUCAUUAAGUCUCAGAUACUAUCAUUUUUAACAUGUACCAUUAUUUCACGUAUCGCGAAGGAAAUAAAGCUGCCAAUUCAACUGACAUGUCUUUGAUUCUAAGAUGUAUACUGAUUUCAGAGAGAAAAAUGGAAACAAAAUAGGUCUUGGGACUGAAGGAAUUUAGUAAAAUAGUUGGCCUACCUACAUGAAGAAAGGGUGUUGUGAGGAAUUAAUUAAAUAAUGUGCAAAAAAAAAGACUUUUUAAACAAAAAAGCACUAAAAAUAUGAAUUCUUCUUAGACAUCUGAACUUUCAACUGACUUCAUCUUAAAGACUCACGUACUCUCAGAUCUUCCCAAGCCUUAUUUAACUGUCCUCAUGUAUUCACUAAGUAGUUCAAAAAGCUGCAUUUACAGCCUUAGGAGUCUGAAUUGCUUUUCUCCAUUUAUAACAUUCCCACCCUCUUAUGAUUUAUUUGUGUAGAAUCAACUUGUGAGUUUUCCCUUGAACUGGAUUCAAGAUUUGAGGCUUGAUUUAUAGUUAGAACUGACUAACAUUUGGAAACAAUGAACUGUGUUGUCUAAACACAUAAAUACCACAAGAGAAAGCUGAAGUGCUAAUUACUGUGAGGGGAGGGGGUGGGGGAGCAAACACAACACAAAAGGCUGCUCCACGUCAGGGGCUCCUGACAACUGAGUGGGGAGAUGGGGGGAGGGUGGGGGGGGGAUUCCUGGGCCGCAUUUCCCAUGCUGCUUCAGGGGAGGAAAUGGCUGAGAGGUUUGGACUGUGGUUUCCCUCUGGAGGCCACCAAAAAGCAGGUGAUCCAUAAUUCUUCCAGUCUGGAAAAAACCGUAAGCUCUCUAGGGCCUUGGCUGCCCCAUGUCCUCAGUUGAGGACAUGAGGACAACAUGGCCUUGGCUGUCCAACUCCAUCAGGGGCCAGGAAACGAGCUCUGGUGUCUCGGGCCUGGCCCGUCGGAGGUGGAUCUGACUGGUUCAAGCCCAGGAGGCUGUGCUCUCCUGCUCCAGAUGCACCCAUCACAGUGUAGGAAAGAGCCCCUCCAAGUCGGCCUGGGGUCUUCAGGGGGUGGCCUGGCAUCCCCAAAGCAGCCACACCUUGGAAUCCAUCAGACCGGAGUUUACAUCCUGCCUUCAUCAUGUAUCAGCGGUUUGUUACUGGACUUUUCUGUGCCUCCAUCUCUUUAUUGGUAAAAGGCGUAAUGGGCUCACAUAGGGGACGCGGCCAUUCAAGGGUCUAGAGCAGAGUGGAUGGGCAUCAGAUGAGUCCUCUUCAGAACUCUGAAUCAUCUUCAGCCAAUGUGAGCUGAACCCUCGCCACGUGCAGAUGCU
rnacentral:lncRNA from 1 species